UCUAUUUAUUUGGAUGAGCUAUUCCUUCAUGUUUUGAUGUGGAAUGCUCUGUGUUCUUCAUCAGCUGUUGAGAAUAACCCCGGCGGAGAGGAGCAGAGAAUAUGUGCUGCUUUCCUUCCUGGAGCACCAGAGCUGUGAGUGCAGGCCCAGACGACACCACCUGAGAAAUCAGCACAGGAGGAGGCGGAAGGGCAAACGCAGGAGGAGACGGAGAGGAAGGACGGAUGAGGAUUGAGACACAGCCGGGAUAUGAUGAUCACUAUGGCAAAUAGACACAGACCAUGCAUCACAUAAGCACUUCUGGACUUUGGAUCAGGAUCAGCACAAAACCCGGCUUCUAGCGAUCAACACAUCUGUGUUUAUACUGACAGUACUGGAUCACAGAUUGUCUUUGAGAAACCAGUCAAUAACGCUGCUAAACUGAAGGAAACAGGCUUUAUCAGCGAGCAAAUGUGAAAUACCUCAGUGCUGCUAUACAAUUAACUCAACAGUCUGGGACAUUUACAAUAAGAAUAUAAAAACAAUACCAUGUAUGUUCAUAUCCCCAUUAUGUGUCUUAAUGUAUUUUAUAAAACAAUAAACUCACAGUAUUUAAAGAAAU